rnacentral:rRNA from 1 species
GACGAACGCUGGCGGCGUGCUUAACACAUGCAAGUCGAACGGAAAGGCCCUGCUUUUGUGGGGUGCUCGAGUGGCGAACGGGUGAGUAACACGUGAGUAACCUGCCCUUGACUUUGGGAUAACUUCAGGAAACUGGGGCUAAUACCGGAUAGGAACCCCUGCUGCAUGGUGGGGGUUGGAAAGUUUCGGCGGUUGGGGAUGGACUCGCGGCUUAUCAGCUUGUUGGUGGGGUAGUGGCUUACCAAGGCUUUGACGGGUAGCCGGCCUGAGAGGGUGACCGGCCACAUUGGGACUGAGAUACGGCCCAGACUCCUACGGGAGGCAGCAGUGGGGAAUAUUGCACAAUGGGCGGAAGCCUGAUGCAGCAACGCCGCGUGCGGGAUGACGGCCUUCGGGUUGUAAACCGCUUUCGCCUGUGACGAAGCGUGAGUGACGGUAAUGGGUAAAGAAGCACCGGCUAACUACGUG